rnacentral:rRNA from 1 species
CAGUAGCCACGGGAAUACGGAGGAUCCAAGCGUUAUCCGGAAUCGUUGGGUUUAAAGGGUCCGUAGGCGGUUUAGUAAGUCAGUGGUGAAAGCCCAUCGCUCAACGGUGGAACGGCCAUUGAUACUGCUGAACUUGAAUUAUUAGGAAGUAACUAGAAUAUGUAGUGUAGCGGUGAAAUGCUUAGAGAUUACAUGGAAUACCAAUUGCGAAGGCAGGUUACUACUAAUUGAUUGACGCUGAUGGACGAAAGCGUGGGGAGCGAACAGGAUUAGAUACCCCUGUAGUCCCUGUCUAUUAUAC